AUUGAACGCUGGCGGCAGGCUUAACACAUGCAAGUCGAGCGAGCGGCGGACGGGUGAGUAAUGUAUGGGAAACUGCCUGAUGGAGGGGGAUAACUACUGGAAACGGUAGCUAAUACCGCAUACCAUCAGAUGUGCCCAGAUUGGAUUAGCUAGUAGGUGGGGUAAUUGCUCACCUAUGCGACGAUCCCUAGCUGGUCGGAGAGGAUUACCAGCCACUCUGGAACUGAGACACGGUCCAGACUCCGACGGGAGGCAGCAGUUGGGAAUAUUGCACAAUGGGCGCAAGCCUGAUGCAGCCAUGCCGCGUGUGUGAAGAAGGCCUUCGUGUUUUAAAGCACUUUCAGCGAGGAGGCGUUACUCGCAGAAGAAGCACCGGCUAACGCCGUGCCAGCAGCCGCGGUAAUUC
rnacentral:rRNA from 1 species